rnacentral:rRNA from 1 species
GACGAACGCUGGCGGCGUGCCUAAUACAUGCAAGUAGAACGCUGAAGGAGGAGCUUGCUUCUCUGGAUGAGUUGCGAACGGGUGAGUAACGCGUAGGUAACCUGCCUGGUAGCGGGGGAUAACUAUUGGAAACGAUAGCUAAUACCGCAUAAUAGCAGUUGUUGCAUGACAACUGUUUGAAAGGUGCAAUUGCACCACUACCAGAUGGACCUGCGUUGUAUUAGCUAGUUGGUGGGGUAACGGCUCACCAAGGCGACGAUACAUAGCCGACCUGAGAGGGUGAUCGGCCACACUGGGACUGAGACACGGCCCAGACUCCUACGGGAGGCAGCAGUAGGGAAUCUUCGGCAAUGGACGGAAGUCUGACCGAGCAACGCCGCGUGAGUGAAGAAGGGUUUCGGAUCGUAAAGCUCUGUUGUAAGAGAAGAACGAGUGUGAGAGUGGAAAGUUCACACUGUGACGGUAGCUUACCAGAAAGAGACGGCUAACUACGUG